UAAAAUUUAUAAAAUUAGGUAGUAAAGAAAUUUCUGAAACCUAAAGAAUUUGGCGGUAUUUUAAAUAAUUGGAGGAACCUGUUAUUUAAUUGACAACCCACAACACAUCUUACCUAAAUUUUAUUUGUAUAUCGUCGUUUUGAUAAUAUUUAAAAAUAAUAAUCAAGUUUAAUAGAUUUUUAGAAUUCAGAUCAAGGUGCAGUAUAUUUAGGUUAUAAUGGGUUACAAUAUAUUAAUAUAUAACGAAUAUAAAAUUGAAAUUAUAUUGAAGGUGGAUUCAAAAGUAAAAUUGAACUAAAAAGUUAAUUUGAUUAAUAAUUUAAAAUAUGC
rnacentral:rRNA from 1 species